UAGGGAAUAUUGCGCAAUGGGGGCAACCCUGACGCAGCAACUCCACGUGUGGGAUGAAGCAUUUCGGUGUGUAAACCACUGUCGGAUGGGAAUAAGGCGCCGCCACGGCGGCGUUGAAUGUACCAUUAGAGGAAGCACCGGCAAACUUCGUGCCAGCAGCCGCGGUAAUACGAGGGGUGCGAGCGUUGUUCGGAAUCACUGGGCGUAAAGGGAGCGUAGGCGGACCGCCAAGCGUUCUGUGCAAUCCCGGGGCCCAACCCCGGACCCGCAGAGCGAACUGGCGGCCUUGAGUAGUCCAGAGGCCGGCGGAAUUCCUGGUGUAGCGGUGGAAUGCGUAGAUAUCAGGAAGAACACCGAUGGCGAAGGCAGCCGGCUGGGGACUUACUGACGCUGAGGCUCGAAAGCGCGGGUAGCAAACAGG
rnacentral:rRNA from 1 species